CUCUUUCUCUGGUGCGCGCAUACAAAGACAUUGAGGAAGGAUUCAGGGAAGGGCUGAAAUGGUUCAGCGACUCACUUACCGGAAGAGGCACAGCUAUGCCACCAAAUCUAAUCAACACCGCAUUGUUAAGACUCCUGGCGGGAAAUUGGUGUAUCAGACCACAAAGAAGAGAGCAAGUGGGCCUAAGUGUCCCGUCACUGG
rnacentral:misc_RNA from 1 species